AUAAUUUUUGGGUCGGUGACUCCUCUGUAUAUUGGCAUGCGGGCAUACUGGAAUGUGGCUUUUCCUUGUUCUGUUUUCUAUUGGUGGGAGUCUCAAGCGCAACUCAGGCCAAAUCUUGACAGGAACCGUGGCUUCCUAGCUGUUAUGGUUAGAUACGACCGCAUGAAGGGAAGGCCAAUACUUUGGCUUCCUGGCAU